AGUAAAGGACUCUCUCUCAGAGAAACACAGUGUGAGAUCAGGAUCAUGUGUGUCCAGCUCUGUGUCUCUGAAGAGUGACCGGUCUAAACAGUAUCCACCAGACCUCAGAGAGAAAACACCAUCAUCUGCAGAAAGUGUGAGAUCAAGAUCAUGUGUGUCCAGCUCUGUGUCUCUGAAGAGUGACCGGUCAAAAAACUAUCCACCAGACCUCAGUGAGGAAACACCAUCAUCUGCUGAAAGUGAUGAAUAUGAGUCAGCAGAUUCAGGAGACGAGACUCUCUGGAGACACAAGAGCUUCACAGACAAUCUCCAGUAGAUCUUCCAGAAUCUUGAGAGCAAAAUGAUCAGAUUUCUGAAGAAUGAAUUGGAGAAAUUUAAGAAAAUCUUACAAGAAGAAAACAGACAAGAGUUUGUGAAGGACUUAAAUGAGAACAGAAGCAGAAUCACAGAAGCAGCUCUUGAUCUCACACUCUUCUUCCUGAGAGAGAUGAAGCAAGAUCAAGCUGCUGAUACUCUUCAGGGUAAGAGACUCUUGAAUAGACCCACACGAACCUGCAGAUUUACACAGAUGUUUAGUCCAUCAUUGAGUUUAUUUAAUUACCUGUGUAAAUGUGUGUACAUUUAUAUUCAUUCAGUUUUUAUUUAAUUUCAGUAAUA